AUUGAACGCUGGCGGCAUGCCUUACACAUGCAAGUCGAACGGUAACAGAUCUUCGGAUGCUGACGAGUGGCGAACGGGUGAGUAAUACAUCGGAACGUGCCUAGUAGUGGGGGAUAACUACUCGAAAGAGUGGCUAAUACCGCAUGAGAUCUACGGAUGAAAGCAGGGGAUUGAAAGACCUUGUGCUACUAGCGCGCCCGAUGGCAGAUUAGGUAGUUGGUGGGAUAAAAGCUUACCAAGCCGACGAUCUGUAGCUGGUCUGAGAGGACGAUCAGCCACACUGGGACUGAGACACGGCCCAGACUCCUACGGGAGGCAGCAGUGGGGAAUUUUGGACAAUGGGCGCAAGCCUGAUCCAGCAAUGCCGCGUGCAGGAUGAAGGCCUUCGGGUUGUAAACUGCUUUUGUACGGAACGAAAAGCCCUGGGUUAAUACCCUGGGGUCAUGACGGUACCGUAAGAAUAAGCACCGGCUAACUACGUGCCAGCAGCCGCCGUAACAC
rnacentral:rRNA from 1 species